UGGGCACAGUACCUUUAUUCAUUUCAAUUUUAUUUGAUGUUGAGGAUCAAACCCAGUACCUCACAAAUGCUAGGCAAGUAUUCCACCACUGAGCUACAACCCCAGCCCAUCUUCUUGGCUUCUUAAUUUUAGUAAAGCUGACACAUGGAAGUAGAGUUGAACAUUUGGCUGAAUUCUUUUACCACUAUCUUCACCUUUGCUUAUUACUCAGAUCUCUUUUGCUUUCAUAUAGGGUCUUUUUAUGGUCCCAAACUCUUGGGCUCAAAUAAUGUCCCACUUAGCUACCUGAGUAGCUGGGAUAUAGGUAUGCAUGACAACACCCUUGCUUGAAAUGUUUUUUCUUAGUCUUCUAUCAGAAUUCUUAUGAAAAGAGUCUAGCUCAAACCUCUCUCAGAGUUUUGAUUGGAAAAACAUUUGUAUUAAACUUUUCAUUUCUCUAAGGAACGAGUUGAAGCAGUUAACAUGGCUGAAGGAAUCAUUCAUGACACAGAAACCAAGAUGGAAGAAUUCAAGGACCAAUUACCUGCUGAUGAGGUAAACUGUUCUCAAACAAUUGAAGAGAUUGGGGGAAUUAUCACCACUGAGUGAAGUUUGUUUUUCUGUGUAUCAUGAUAUAAGUAAUCAGUUUUUUAAGUGUUCUGAAUAUUACUGCAACACAUAAUGGGACAGAAGACCUGAGAAAAUGAAAAUUUUUGUCUUUUUUUAAGUGCAACAAACUUAAAGAAGAGAUAUCCAAAAUGAGGGAGCUCCUGGCUCGAAAAGACAGUGAAACGGGAGAAAACAUCAGGCAGGCAGCAUCCUCCCUUCAGCAGGCAUCAUUAAAGCUCUUUGAAAUGGCAUACAAAAAGGUACAAGGGCUGACGGGUAUUUUGAUCCUGAUUACUUUUCUUGUAACUUUUUUAAAUUACUGUUACUGGUGUUCUUCUCUCCAUGUCAUUUAUGGAAUUGAGAAUAGGAUUUUAAAACAUCUCCUGCCAUCUUGAUUCUAUUUAGGGAAUGAUGAUAGUGUCAAAGGAAUCGGGAAAGCACUAGUGUAGGGGAUGGAACAGGAGUGCACGGGAUGAGACUCCUUUGUUUUGGUGUUGAAGUAUUAGCUUAAUAUUCUGAAUGGGUAUCAAAUGUUUUCUUAACAGAUGGCAUCUGAGAGAGAAGGCUCUGGAAGUUCUGGCACUGGGGAACAAAAGGAAGAUCAAAAGGAGGAGAAACAGUAAUAGUACAUUGGAGCCAAAAAGACCACAUUCUAUAUGAAGCUUAGGAGUGAAGGCACUUCCUGAGCAGAAAUGGGCAACCUUCAGUCUUUACUGUAUUUUUGCAGUAUUCAAUAUAUAAUUUCCUUGAUAUGUAAAUUUAGUGACCAUUAGCUGAUGAACAUUUAAUGGGCAAUAAUUCUAUGCAGUACAAAGUUCACAAUGUUCUCUCCCUGGCCUGUUAAUUUUCAGCUGCAUGUGAAAGGGUUAGGGGUAGACGAUUUACUAAUCAUUAUAAAGACUUCCUGUUGGUUUGUGCUAAAGUGGCAAUAUUUUCAAGGUGUGAAACUAUAUCAAACACAAUAAAGGAGAUGUACCAUAAUAACCUGGAAUGAGACCAUAAUGAGGAUGAAGAUCCUAGUUGGUCAAGAGCACUGCUGUAAUAGCCGAUGUGUACUCGGGGUCCUUCGGCUGAGGCCUUGAAGCACAAGAGAGCUAGCUGUGCUAAGGUUGUAGUAGGUGGGACAGAGGAAGCUGGUCAGUGGAAAACUAAGCUAUUUAUGUUAGGUAGCUUAAAAUAAGGUAGUUCUUAAAUCCCUAAUGUUCCUAAGGCAUACUUUUCUAGCUACCCUCUGGC
rnacentral:lncRNA from 1 species